rnacentral:rRNA from 1 species
GGCAGAGGGUGCAAACGUUGUUCGGAAUUACUGGGCGUAAAGCGCGUGUAGGCGGCUCGGAAAGUCGGGUGUGAAAGCCCUGGGCUCAACCUAGGAAGUGCACUCGAAACUUCCGAGCUGGAGUUCUGGAGAGGAAGGCGGAAUUCUCGGUGUAGAGGUGAAAUUCGUAGAUAUCGAGAGGAACACCGGUGGCGAAGGCGGCCUUCUGGACAGCAACUGACGCUGAGACGCGAAAGCGUGGGGAGCAAACAGG